rnacentral:rRNA from 1 species
AUGGUCGGACAAGGAAAAGCUGUCUCUAUUGUAAAAUUUCAAAUAUAACUUCUAAGUGAAAAGGCUUAGAUUUUUUAGGGGGACGAUAAGACCCUAUAAAGCUUUACAUAUGAAUAGAAUUUACUUAAUGASGAGUAAAAGUUUAAUCUAAUUAGUAUGUUUUGUUGGGGCGACAUAAAUAUAAUUUAUAUUAACUGUUUAUAAAAUAAUACAAUAAUAAAUGAUUUUAAUGUAGUUGAUCCUUAUUAAAGAUUAAAAGACUAAGUUACUUUAGGGAUAACAGCGUUAUUUCUUUUGAGAGCCCAUAUCGAAAAAGAAGUUUGCGACCUCGAUGUUGAAUUAAAAUAUCUAAAUAAUGCAGCAGUUAUUAAAGAGGGUCUGUUCGACC